rnacentral:rRNA from 1 species
UCCGCCAAUGCAGAUGGGACUAAGCUACUUUUUAAAGAAGAUAUUCUGCCAUCCCGAGGAGAUAUUUCUUUAUUUAGCAUUGGACCCUCUAUAGCAGUCAUAUCAGUUUUAUUAAGUUUUUUAGUUAUCCCUUUGGGAUAUCAUUUUGUUUUAGCCGAUCUUAGUAUUGGUGUUUUUUUAGGAUUGCCAUUUCAAGUAUAGCUCCUAUUGGUCUUCUUAUGGCAGGAUAUAGCUCAAAUAAUAAAUAUUCUUUUUCAGGCGGUCUACGAGCUGCUGCUCAAUCCAUUAGUUAUGAAAUACCAUUAA